rnacentral:rRNA from 1 species
UACAGAGGGUGCGAGCGUUAAUCGGAAUUACUGGGCGUAAAGCGUGCGUAGACGGCUAUCUAAGUCGGGUGUGAAAGCCCCGGGCUCAACCUGGGAAUUGCAUUCGAGACUGAAUAGCUAGGGUACGGUAGAGGGAAGUGGAAUUUCCGGUGGAGCGGUGAAAUGCGUAGAUAUCGGAAGGAACACCGGUGGCGAAAGCGGCGCGCUGGACCUCUUCUGACGCUGAUGCGCGAAAGCCAGGGGAGCGAACGGG